CCAUUGCUCAUGUCCCGAUGACGCCAGCUGCCAUGUCAGGCUCAUUACUGGACAGAUGCAAAGUUUGGGGAAACUGUUCCUAAGCCCCAGUUAGACUGCUUCUCCUUUCCCUCCACUGCCUACAUCUUCAUCCCCAAUUUGUCUUCCUGUUGAAGUCUUUUCAUCCUUCAUAACCAAGUCAAAGACCACCACUGUGUCCUGCAUGCCCCUGCCAUCUGACAGUGAGGAUGGACCAUUUGAGUAGUUCUGGUCAGACCCAGGACUCAUCCAGACCAACACACUGACCCGUAGAAGGGCAUCCUGGAAAGCUAGAGCUCAAAAGGACUUCGAGAGGGAAGGACCUGGAUCACUGCUGUGCAAUUGGACAUAGGGGUCUGGAGAUGGUGCAGAGAUGAAGCCACUGAAUGGCUGAGUGGGACCUGCAGCUCGGGUCCAGCUCCUGCUCAGCAUGGGAGUGGGGCACAGACACCUGCCUGGAGCUAUGUUUGUUACCUAAAAAUUCCGCCAAUGAAAGAAAGUGGGUGGACAGAGUCUCAC